UCUAAUAUUAUUUAUUCAGGUUAGGAUCCUUGCCUUCCAAGCAAGGGGUCGGCGUUCGAUUCGCCGGAUAAGCA